UGGCACUGUUCCACUCCUGGCGUUAUCCCAAGGAGAUAAUGGACAGGUGAAGGUUACCUGCACAUCAGAUGGAUGGUCUCCGCAGCCUGUACUUACCUGGACCAGUGGAGGAGGAAAGGAAAUCAAAGGUCAUGGCACAGUGUACACCACAGAUCACCAGGGUUUGGUGAAAGUGAGUUCCUGGCUGCUGCAUCCUCCCUCACAGAGCGAGUCGGUGUCCUGCUUCGUGGGGCUGUCUGAUCAGGAGAGGAAAGAGGGCAGAGUGGUGCCAUUUGUUCAUACAGAACACAACGGUGCUCUGAUUGGAGGAAUCAUCGUUGUUGUUGUUGUGCUCCUAAUCCUGGUCCUCACUGCAGUUAUCCUUUAUAAAAAAGGUUCCUGGGGAAAGAGAAAAAAGGAGAAAACUGGUAA